AAUGAACGCUGGCGGCGUGCUUAACACAUGCAAGUCGUACGAGAAAUCCUCUGCUUGCAGGGGAGAGUAAAGUGGCGCACGGGUGAGUAUCGCGUGGGUAAUCUACCCUUGAAUUCAGGAUAACAUUUCGAAAGGGGUGCUAAUACUGGAUAACAUCCUGAUGGUUUAGGCCAUAAGGAUCAAAGAUAGCCUCUACAUGUAAGCUAUUGUUUAGGGAUGAGCCCGCGUACCAUUAGCUAGUUGGUGGGGUAAGAGCCUACCAAGGCAACGAUGGUUAGCUGGUCUGAGAGGAUGAUCAGCCACACUGGAACUGAAACACGGUCCAGACUCCUACGGGAGGCAGCAGUGAGGAAUUUUGCGCAAUGGGGGAAACCCUGACGCAGCAACGCCGCGUGAGUGAAGAAGGCUUUCGGGUCGUAAAGCUCUGUCAAGAGGGAAGAAAGUAGGGGAUGGUAAUACUGUUUUCUAUUGACGGUACCUCUGAAGGAAGCACCGGCUAACUCCGUGCCAGCAGCCGCGGUAAUACGGGGGGUGCAAGCGUUAUUCGGAUUUAUUGGGCGUAAAGAGCGCGUAGGCGGUUUAUCAAGUCAGAUGUGAAAGCCCUGGGCUCAACCUGGGAAGUGCAUUUGAAACUAGUAGACUUGAGUAUGGGAGAGG
rnacentral:rRNA from 1 species